UUACAACUUUCCAGUAGAAGCGCAAGGGAUUUAAGUCUCGCAACCAUGAACCAGAAACUCAACCUUCUGCUUUUAGUUAUUGCUCUCAUAUUGAUGUCCGGGAACUUUGUGGAAUCGGAACUCUCAAUAUGCAAAAAUUUACCCAAAAGCAUGUGUACUAGCAUGAAGUAUAACAAUAUGUGUCCGAGUGUAUGUGGAGGUAGAUGAAGACGGUAAUCAAAUAACGUUUACAAUAUAAUGAAUCUCAUGAUUCUGAAGAUAAUACGCACCACACUAAAAAUAUAAUUGGGUGGAAAUGUAAUUAGAUCUGCAGCUCCAGACUGCGAAAAAAACACGAAAAUAACGAUUUAUAAAUACAUAAAUAAAUA